rnacentral:lncRNA from 1 species
UGUAUGUUUAUGUGGUGUAAGCGCGCCAUUUCCAUUUUGUCAUUUUAUGUUCCUUAUGUAGUCCACGUUUACCAUUCUGCUGAUUUCCUAUUUUCUUCCUUGGUUUCGCAGCCUUGGCACAUUGCUCGCUCGGUCCCUCUGACCUGUCGAGGUCACCGGCCGACCGUAGCCUGGGGCAGGGCCCAGGAAUGUAGCUGCGCCGUCGCGACCGCAGGGUCAGAAAAGUAGUAACUGGAAACUGUGAUAUUUGACUCGUUAAUGUGUAUGUUAUGCCCAAUAAUGUGCUCAGGAUUGUAAAAUGUAUUGUUUGAUGCGAGUAGGGAUCUCCUGGACAUUUAAGUUGCGAAUAUGAUAGCUGACGCGGAUGAACAUUUCUGAAUAUGGGCGGUGCCCGGCGCCCCGGCGCUGGUCGGGGGCGCGGCGCGGGUCAGUUGAGCCCCGUUGAGGCUGGUGGUAUGUGGUGGUGUCUGCGCCAGAGCCGCCAUUUACCAAGACCGUGAGGCUGGUCGUCUAAUGUGCCUCUGGAGACGUGUGCCUCUGGUUUCGUUAGCCGAUAAGCGACUCAGGGAGCACAUUUGUCGCAACGAUUGCGUGCGGAGGGCCACACGGUCCAAUACACCGAUCCGUGACG